rnacentral:ncRNA from 1 species
UUAAAAGGGCAAACUCGCUGAAAGGCGAGGACGCAAAGCUCUGGUGUCUAAAUAGCGAUUCUAUAUGACCGACCGGCUGC